GGGGUUGUGGCUCAGUGGUAGAGCGCUUGCCUAGCACGUAUGAGGCACUGGGUUCAAUUCUCAGCAACACAU
rfam:Ictidomys tridecemlineatus contig031539, whole genome shotgun sequence.